UGGGGAAUAUUGCACAAUGGGCGCAAGCCUGAUGCAGCCAUGCCGCGUGUGUGAAGAAGGCCUUCGGGUUGUAAAGCACUUUCAGCGGGGAGGAAGGCGGUGAGGUUAAUAACCUCAUCGAUUGACGUUACCCGCAGAAGAAGCACCGGCUAACUCCGUGCCAGCAGCCGCGGUAAUACGGAGGGUGCAAGCGUUAAUCGGAAUUACUGGGCGUAAAGCGCACGCAGGCGGUCUGUCAAGUCGGAUGUGAAAUCCCCGGGCUCAACCGGGGAACUGCAUUCGAAACUGGCAGGCUAGAGUCUUGUAGAGCGGGGUAGAAUUCCAGGUGUAGCGGUGAAAUGCGGAGAGAUCUGGAGGAAGACCGGUGGCGAAGGCGGCCCCCUGGACAAAGACUGACGCACAGGUGCGAAAGCGUGGGGAGCAAACAGG
rnacentral:rRNA from 1 species